UGCUGAUAGCUACGUGAUCGAUUUGGU
rnacentral:sRNA from 1 species